UUUUCUGUGGCUUAGUGGUCAGAGUUUUUGGAUGGUUUCCAAGAAGUAUGGGUUCAAAUCUCAUUUACUAAA
rnacentral:tRNA from 1 species